AUUGAACGCUGGCGGCAUGCCUUACACAUGCAAGUCGAACGGCAGCACGGGGCAACCUGGUGGCGAGUGGCGAACGGGUGAGUAAUGCAUCGGAACGUGCCAUUGAGUGGGGGAUAACGUAGCGAAAGUUGCGCUAAUACCGCAUAUUCUGUGAGCAGGAAAGCAGGGGACCGCAAGGCCUUGCGCUCUUUGAGCGGCCGAUGUCAGAUUAGCUAGUUGGUGAGGUAACGGCUUACCAAGGCGACGAUCUGUAGCGGGUCUGAGAGGAUGAUCCGCCACACUGGAACUGAGACACGGUCCAGACUCCUACGGAGGCAGCAGUGGGGAAUUUUGGACAAUGGGCGCAAGCCUGAUCCAGCCAUGCCGCGUGAGUGAAGAAGGCCUCGG
rnacentral:rRNA from 1 species